GCAUGCUGGGAAUCGUAGUCUUUUGUAUAGCCGAUAAUAGUAACAGUGUCAUUUGCUCGGAAUUUUACAGUUAGAUCUGGCAAAAUUUUCAGCCCUUAUAUCUCCCAGUUUUCUUUAUCGACUGCCUGAAAGUGAAACCAAAGGAUGGUGUGGACUUCACCAAAGAGGAGGAAGAAUUCCAAUCUCCAUUUUAACUCCCACACCCCAACAGCUAGCACAUUUAAUAAAUCAAGAUUCCCAGCAGCCUCCAGCAUGCUAAAGAUAAAACAUCCAGAAGAACUUGAGAUCAAAGUCAUGAAAUGCAGACAGACCUUCUAUGAG